AUGCAAAAUGUCCAAUUCUACACUGAGGAUCAACAACUGUGCAUCCACAGAGGUUGCCCAACCUGUAGCACUCAGUUCAGCACUGAGGUCCCAGGACAACCCCAGGGGACUCAUAAUGAGCACAACCACAGAAGGAACCAUCAGUGUAUGAAUGCAGAUCAAAUCACACCAUGUCUUGUCUUAUUUCUUUCAUGAGUUUUUUCUUAAAUGUGUAAUAUAUGUCUUCUUUCACAACAUGAGGAAUUGGGAAAUUUAUAUUCCAUGACAUUGGGAAAACCUAUAUCAGACUGUCUGCUGCCUGGGAAGGGGAAAAGGAAGGGAGGGAGGAAAAGAACUUGGAUUGCAAAAGGUCAGAAAAU
rnacentral:lncRNA from 1 species